AGUCCCAGCAGCCCCUAGGCGCUGUAGCAGCCUGAGGACUCCCCUGCCUGGAAGUAAAGCAGGGUCAGACCUGGCUGGGGCUUGGCUGGAUGACCACCUGAGGAGACCAGGGGCUGGAGACUU
ensembl:rRNA 5S_rRNA 5S ribosomal RNA